rnacentral:lncRNA from 1 species
GGCACAAGAUUGCAGUUCCGCCAUAUUAUCACAAAUUCUGUAAACAGAGUUUGGCAUGAAUUUCACUUUUGGUGUAGUUACAGUUCUAAAUUUCAAACACGACAUCUAAGGCAAAUAGAUACUCCCUUCGUUUCAAUUUAUAUGACACGUUUCACUUAUUAAUCCGUUUCAGAAAGAGUGACACAUUUAUAUAUUUGGAAAUAAUUUAACACUUUUUAUUUUAUCCAAUUUAUCCUUAAUGAGAAGUUUUUAUAGUCAUCCAAAUUGAGAGCCCCGCAAAAGCUUUACCUUCUAAUAGACCAUAAGUUUCAAAAAUCUCUUUUAUUUUUUUCUUAAACUUUGUGCUAAGUCAAACUAAAUCACGUAAAUUUAAACGGAGGGAGUAAAUGAGAGAAAUACACAAUUAGAAAAUACGAGUAAUCGUCAUUGUACAUCAGUAUAUGACGCUAGUAAACAAACACCUAUCAGUGGAAGCAAACAACUAAAUGAAUCAUUAAUUGAAUCCAUAAAGUAGGGUUUAAUUAGCGACCUCGUUAACACAAAAUUUUUCUAUAACAUUCAAAUAUGCACGAGACAGCAUAUGCAAGUAAAAUUAGAUUUUCAGAAAUUAAAUUUUCUCACCCUUUUUUCGAACAGCUUCGCCGGCGGCCACCAAAUGGGACACUUCUCAGGCUGAAAAUCUCAGCCUAUAAAUAAUGAGAGGAGAAGAGGGAAAUUAGAGGGAAAAAAAGGAGAAGAAGAUGGACUUGGGUUUGUAGUUGAAUUGUUUUUCAAAUCCCUAAAAAAGAGUGAAAAAGAAUUGGCGCUGGGUUGAGACUUGUGUUUGAG